rnacentral:rRNA from 1 species
CGGAUGCGAUCGUACCAGCACUAAAGCACCGGAUCCCAUCAGAACUCCGAAGUUAAGCGUGCUUGGGCGAGAGUAGUACUAGGAUGGGUGACCUCCUGGGAAGUCCUCGUGUUGCAUCCCUC